CCUACGGGAGGCAGCAGUGGGGAAUAUUGGACAAUGGGCGCAACCUGAUCCAGCCAUGCCGCGUGAGUGAUGAAGGCCUUAGGGUUGUAAAGCUCUUUCAGUAGGGAAGCGGUACCUACAGAAGAAGCCCCGGCUAACUUCGUGCCAGCAGCCGCGGUAAUACGAAGGGGGCUAGCGUUGUUCGGAUUUACUGGGCGUAAAGCGCACGUAGGCGGAUUGUUAAGUCAGAGGUGAAAUCCUGGAGCUCAACUCCGAACUGCCUUUGAUACUGGCAAUCUAGAGUCCGGAAGAGGUGAGUGGAACUCCUAGUGUAGAGGUGGAAUUCGUAGAUAUUAGGAAGAACACCAGUGGCGAAGGCGGCUCACUGGUCGGACUGACGCUGAGGUGCGAAACGUGGGGAGCAAACAGGAUUAGAUACCCUUGUAGUC
rnacentral:rRNA from 1 species